rnacentral:rRNA from 1 species
AACGAACGCCGGCGGCAUGCCUAACACAUGCAAGUCGAACGAGACCUUCGGGUCUAGUGGCGCACGGGUGCGUAACGCGUGGGAACCUGCCCUUAGGUUCGGAAUAACAGUUAGAAAUGACUGCUAAUACCGGAUAAUGUCUUCGGACCAAAGAUUUAUCGCCUUUGGAUGGGCCCGAGGAAGAUUCGAUAGGUGGUGGGGUAAUGGCCUACCAAGCCGACGAUAUUUAGCUGGGCUGAGAGGAUGAUCAGCCACACUGGGACUGAGAGACGGCCCAGACUCCUACGGGAGGCAGCAGUGGGGAAUAUUGGACAAUGGGCGAAAGCCUGAUCCAGCAAUGCCGCGUGAGUGAUGAAGGCCUUAGGGUUGUAAAGCUCUUUUACCAGGGAUGAUAAUGACAGUACCUGGAGAAUAAGCUCCGGCUAACUCCGUGCCAGCAGCCGCCGUAAUAC